UACGUAGGGGGCGAGCGUUAUCCGGAAUUACUGGGCGUAAAGGGUGUGUAGGCGGUUGUUUAAGUUUGGUGUGAAAUCUCCCGGCUCAACUGGGAGGGUGCGCCGAAUACUGAAUGACUUGGAGUGCGGGAGAGGUGAGUGGAAUUCCUGGUGUAGCGGUGAAAUGCGUAGAUAUCAGGAGGAACACCGGUGGUGUAGACGGCUCACUGGACCGUAACUGACGCUGAGACACGAAAGCGUGGGUAGCAAACAGG
rnacentral:rRNA from 1 species